rnacentral:rRNA from 1 species
GCCCGCUCAAGAAACUCAAAUGAAUUGACGGGACCCCGCACAAGCGGUGGAUCAUGUUGUUUAAUUCGAUGAUACGCGAAGAACCUUACCAGGUCUUGACAUCCCCCGCGAUGCUUUAGAGAUAAAGCGGAGGUAUUCGGGGAGACAGGUGGUGCAUGGUUGUCGUCAGCUCGUGUCGUGAGAUGUUGGGUUAAGUCCCGCAACGAGCGCAACCCCUAUUGCUAGUUACCAUCAUUAAGUUGGGGACUCUAGCGAGACUGCCAGUGAUAAACUGGAGGAAGGUGGGGAUGACGUCAAAUCAUCAUGCCCCUUAUGACCUGGGCUACAAACGUGAUACAAUGGCUGGAACAAAGGGAUGCGAAGCAGUGAUGUGGAGCGAAACCCAUAAAAACAGUCUCAGUUCGGAUUGAAGUCUGCAACUCGACUUCAUGAAGUCGGAAUCGCUAGUAAUCGCGGAUCAGAACGCCGCGGUGAAUACGUUCUCGGGGUUU